rnacentral:rRNA from 1 species
AGUGAACGCUGGCGGUAGGCCUAACACAUGCAAGUCGAACGGCAGCACAGUAAGAGCUUGCUCUUACGGGUGGCGGGUGGCGGACGGGUGAGGAAUACAUCGGAAUCUACUUUUUCGUGGGGGAUAACGUAGGGAAACUUACGCUAAUACCGCAUACGACCUACGGGUGAAAGCAGGGGAUCUUCGGACCUUGCGCGAUUGACUGAGCCGAUGUCGGAUUAGCUAGUUGGCGGGGUAAAGGCCCACCAAGGCGACGAUCCGUAGCUGGUCUGAGAGGAUGAUCAGCCACACUGGAACUGAGACACGGUCCAGACUCCUACGGGAGGCAGCAGUGGGGAAUAUUGGACAAUGGGCGCAAGCCUGAUCCAGCCAUACCGCGUGGGUGAAGAAGGCCUUCGGGUUGUAAAGCCCUUUUGUUGGGAAAGAAAAGCAGCAGGUUAAUACCCCGCUGUUCUGACGGUACCCAAAGAAUAAGCACCGGCUAACUUCGUG